rnacentral:rRNA from 1 species
GACGAACGCUGGCGGCGUGCUUAACACUUGCAAGUCGAACGGAAAGGCCCUGCUUUUGUGGGGUGCUCGAGUGGCGAACGGGUGAGUAACACGUGAGUAACCUGCCCUUGACUUUGGGAUAACUUCAGGAAACUGGGGCUAAUACCGGAUAGGAGCUCCUGCUGCAUGGUGGGGGUUGGAAAGUUUCGGCGGUUGGGGAUGGACUCGCGGCUUAUCAGCUUGUUGGUGGGGUAGUGGCUUACCAAGGCUUUGACGGGUAGCCGGCCUGAGAGGGUGACCGGCCACAUUGGGACUGAGAUACGGCCCAGACUCCCACGGGAGGCAGCAGUGGGGAAUAUUGCACAAUGGGCGGAAGCCUGAUGCAGCAACGCCGCGUGCGGGAUGACGGCCUUCGGGUUGUAAACCGCUUUCGCCUGUGACGAAGCGUGAGUGACGGUAAUGGGUAAAGAAGCACCGGCUAACUACGU